CAGCCUCCAAAGCCAGUCCCUGACCGUGUCCCAGGCAGCAAAGUACCAGUUCUGAUCCUCUGCAAGGAGGGAGGACACACUACCUGUAGCAUUAAAGGACGGAGCAGACAACUGAGAAAAAUGAAGCGUAGACAGAUCCAUCACCUGGUUACAGAGUCAAUGGGAAUUCUUAAUGCUCCAUAAAUCUGAAAAUUAGGCUGUCAGCAACUUCUCCUGAAGCAAACCUGCAGCAAAGCUACCCAGGAGCCCCAGUUCCUACCCAUCAG